CUACGGGAGGCACCAGUCGAGAAUCUUCCGCAAUGGGCGAAAGCCUGACGGAGCAAUGCCGCGUGAAGGAUGAAGGCCUUUGGGUUGUAAACUUCUGUCACCGGGGAUGAAUAAUGACAGUACCCGGGGAGGAAGCCACGGCUAACUACGUGCCAGCAGCCGCGGUAAUACGUAGGUGGCGAGCGUUGUUCGGAUUUAUUGGGCGUAAAGGGUUCGUAGGGGGUUAACUAAGUCUGAUGUGAAAUCCCGCGGCUUAACCGCGGAACUGCAUUGGAAACUGGAGAACUAGAGGAUCGAGAGGAGAGUGGAAUUCCAGGAGUGGCGGUGGAAUGCGUAGAUAUCUGGAAGAACACCGACAGCGAAGGCAGCUCUCUGGACGAUACCUGACUCUGAGGGACGAAAGCGUGGGGAGCAAACAGGAUUAGAUACCCGGGUAGUC
rnacentral:rRNA from 1 species